GCAGUUCGUUAAAAAACAUACUAAAUCAAACUCAAGUGACAUGUUUGAAAGUAUUAACAUUCCGCCUACUUGUAACUUUAAACAGCUAAAAAACACUAAAGUGGACACCGCGUGGCGUCUACUGUAAAUUGUGUUUCCUCAGGCUGCCGUCAUAAAGCAGCCAUAAUGAAGGAGAACAUCCCCACUGGUUGUCAUGGAGCCCAACAGCAAUCCAUCUCAGUUUAUGUGCUUGUGUGGGCUCUGAUGCAGGGCAGUGGUGUUUGAAGAUGGCCAAAUCGCUUGAGUACUGUGAAUUCUGAUGUUGAUGGUCCCAAGAGGAGGAACCCGACUUACAACAUAGGACUGGUGUUGCUUCUGCUACUAUUAUGAUUUAAUUGUAGCACCCUCUUUAAGUCGACAACUGCAAUUUUGAACUCAUCAUGACCCUUUGCUUUUUCACUCCUAUCAAAUGCAAAUAUUUAUUCUAUAUAUUAUUAUAGCUAUUAAAUGAAUGGCCUUGCCACCAUUAGAGCAGCCAUUAUAAUGCCAGAAAUGAUGACACCAGCUAUGGCUAUUGUGAGAAUCUCAUCAGUGGCCGGAGCCAGUCCACGUACUUGGCAGUAGAUAACCCAAACGAAUCCCUGUUGAGUUGUUGACCAAUGCACAGACAGGGAGAGGAAAGCGAGACACAAACACAUAAUCCAUAAUGCAUUGCUGCCUGUGUGCUGUGAAGACUGAAUCAUCUUUCCACAGCAACAGAAAAAGCUGUGGAUAUUUUGCAGGAGGCGACAGCGCGCUGUGAUCAUUCACCAAACAGCUUGUGUCUUUACACCUGUCAGAGCAGACAGUGGCCCUGUGUGUAAACAUGCGUUUUGUUGAGAUGAUGUUGCUUUUAGUUUUGCUUCUUUUUACAUUUGCAUUGCAUCAGUCAGUUUCAGCAUCAACAAAAAAAAGAUGUGUGUGA